ensembl:Y_RNA Y_RNA Y RNA
GGCUGGUCUGAAGGUAGUGAGCUAUCUCAAUUGAUUGUUCACAGUCAGUUACAGAUCAGAUUCCUUGUUCUACUCUUUGCCCUCUUCCCACUACUGCACUUGACGGGUCUUGA